rnacentral:rRNA from 1 species
UUGGAGGGCGAGUCUGGUGCCAGCAGCCGCGGUAAUUCCAGCUCCAAUAGCGUAUAUUAAAGUUGUUGCAGUUAAAAAGCUCGUAGUUGAAUUUCGGGGUCAGUAGGUCGGUCGUGCCACUGGUAUGAACUGGUUUUACUGAUUCCUCCCUCUUGAAGAACUGUAAUGCCAUUAAUUUGGUGUUGCAGGGAAUCAGGACUGUUACUUUGAAAAAAUUAGAGUGUUUAAAGCAGGCUUUAGCUUGAAUACAUUAGCAUGGAAUAAUGAAAUAGGACGUUUGAUCCUAUUUUGUUGGUUUCUAGGAUUGACGUAAUGAUUAAUAGGGAUAGUUGGGGGCAUUAGUAUUCAAUUGUCAGAGAUGAAAUUCUUGGAUUUAUUGAAGACUAACUACUGCGAAAGCAAUUGCCAAGGAUGUUUUCAUUAAUCAGGAACGAAAGUUAGGGGAUCGAAGACGAUCAGAUACCGUCGUAGUCUUAACCAUAAACUAUGCCGACUAGGGAUCGGAUGGUGUUAAUUUUUUAAUGACUCAUUCGGCGCCUUACGGGAAAC